CAUUAGCACGCUGCCUCUCCGGCCAGCCUCGCACGGAGUCCGGGUGGAAGAGAAAGGAUCAUUGGAAAGGUGUGCUUUUAUACAGCCAGUGGCAUCAUGGGAAGUCCGCUGCUACCCCCCUUUUCCAAAUGUUGGAAAGCAGGCAGCCAUCUAUUGUUUUCUGCUUAUGUAUAAUUCCUCCAUAGUCUGGGAUACGGAGCCCCUCAAAGCACCUCUCCACCUUGACUAACUUUUCCAAGCGCUCAUUAGCAGACUGGUUGAAGUUUGCAGGCUAUGAAACAAGCUGGCAGAUUACCCCCCAUAAAGUAGCACACCUCAGGGCUGGAGCUCAAAGUGCCAAACAAACAGAGUGUUUGUUUGCAUAACAUUAGAGCUGCAUGCUCGCACAUGUUGGCGGGGGCCCUGACUGCAGGAGUGACUGGAGGCUUCGGUGAACACAGGUGGAGCAGGCUGAGCAUCACUGGGACCAAUUAGAACAGAGCACAGGUAUAUUAGCAUGUUUGAGUGGAGUGCGGUGGCGUUGGGAUCCAUGGACCUUAUGAAACACACACAAACACAUUAUCGCAGCCUGGCAAAUCCACCGUGUGUGUCUCUGGUGACACAACAAGAAUAUGCGUGACAAAUGACCCCUUGUUUGCUGUCAGGGUGAAACGUUUUUUUCUUUUCCUUUCCUA